rnacentral:rRNA from 1 species
UACGUAGGGGGCUAGCGUUGUCCGGAUUUAUUGGGCGUAAAGAGCGUGUAGGCGGCCAGAUAGGUCUGCUGUGAAAACUCGAGGCUCAACCUCGAGAUGUCGGCGGAAACCAUUUGGCUAGAGUCCGGAAGAGGAAAGUGGAAUUCCUGGUGUAGCGGUGAAAUGCGUAGAUAUCUGGAGGAACACCGGUGGCGAAGGCGGCAUCCUGGACCGGUAUUGACACUGAGGCGCGAAAGCCAGGGGAGCAAACGGG